UUCUUGAAAAGUUAAACAGGCACACAAGCCACUGCCUUUGAAUUUUGAUUGAUGUCAGACGUCCACACCGGAUGACAAACCUCCACUGGGAGGGUUCCUUCCCACCUUUUGCCCCAAUCAGCUUUGUUUCUUAGCUUUUGGUGGAGGAUUCCUUCACCUCCCUAUUCCUUUCCUUUUGCUUUCAGCCUUUCACCCAUUAUGAGACUUUGGAUGGGAUUCAAAGUUCACACAUCUCUCUCAGUAAAAGACAGGCACCGGCAGGACAUUUAUAGAGCUUGUGCCAGCUUAACUUUUCUUCUGGGAUGCAGAGAGUGGUCACCUCAUUUGGUUGAUUCCAGGCACAAGGACAAGCGAAAGCAAUGUGAUAUAGAACUCAUGAGGAAUGGAUGCCCCAUGGCUUGUGAUAUGUUUCCAGGGCCUAAACCCCAAGAGUCCCCCUGCCCUACUCAAAAAGCCUCUGGUCCAAUGCCAACAUGCAGAUUUUUAGGACUCGCUGAGGAGGGGUGAUGACAGAGAAAUAUGAUUCACAAAGGAGACAGUCAUACUGCUGUGCAGGCCAGGAAGGUCGUACGGUGCCCCAACAUGGCCGUUGGAAUGCUGAUGUGUUAACAUCGUGCUGGUUACCGACAACAUAGAGGAAGUAUGAGGCACUGAGUGACUCCAAAUUGAUGGUCAUCCAAAUACCAGGGGAGUACAAGGCGAAGGAAAGUAACAUGAUCACUUCAUCUGUCGAAGGGCACUUAACAUAGAGCAAAUCAAACACAACCUCUGAUUUGUUUGGCUUAUCACUUUUCUCAUUUCGAUGCAAAAUGUUCUCUGAGAAAUGACCUCUUCAUUGAAUGAGUAAGAUUCUGCAUGUUGUAUCCGUAUGAGGAUGUUCUUAAUAGAAUUUCAAGAGGAGCCUCAUCCAUGAUGACAUU